AUUCCUACGGGAGGCAGCAGUCGAGAAUAAUUCACAAUGGGGGCAACCCUGAUGGUGCAACGCCGCGUGAAGGAUGACGGUCUUCGGAUUGUAAACUCCUGUCAUCCGGGAGUAAGACCUGGCGGUUAACAGCCGACAGGGUUGAUAGUACCGGAAGAGGAAGGGACGGCUAACUUCGUGCCAGCAGCCGCGGUAAUACGAAGGUCCCGAGCGUUGUUCGGAAUCACUGGGCGUAAAGGGAGCGUAGGCGGCGCGGUAAGUCAGAUGUGAAAUCCCGGGGCUCAACCCCGGAACUGCAUCCGAUACUGCCGUGCUAGAGGAUUGGAGAGGUAGCUGGAAUUCUUGGUGUAGCAGUGAAAUGCGUGGAUAUCAAGAGGAACACUCGUGGCGAAAGCGAGCUACUGGACAACUCCUGACGCUGAGGCUCGAAGGCCAGGGUAGCGAAAGGGAUUAGAUACCCCUGUAGUCCUGGCAGUAAACGGUGCACGCUUGGUGUGAGGGGAAUCGACCCCCCUUGUGCCGGAGCUAACGCGUUAAGCGUGCCGCCUGGGAAGUACGGUCGCAAGACUAAAACUCAAAGAAAUUGACGGGGACCCGCACAAGCGGUGGAGUAUGUGGCUUAAUUCGAUGCAACGCGAAGAACCUUACCAAGGCUUGACAUGGAUUUCUAAGCACGUGAAAGCGUGUGACCCUUCGGGGAACUUCCACAGGUGCUGCAUGGCCGUCGUCAGCUCGUGUCGUGAGAUGUUGGGUUAAGUCCCGCAACGAGCGCAACCCUUGUGACUAGUUGCCAGCACGUAAAGGUGGGAACUCUAGUCAGACUGCCCAGAUCAACUGGGAGGAAGGUGGGGACGACGUCAGGUCAGUAUGGCCCUUACGCCUUGGGCUGCACACGUACUACAAUGCCCAGCACAAUGAGAACCGAUGCCGCGAGGUGGAGGAAAUCUAUAAAACUGGGCCCAGUUCGGAUUGGAGGCUGCAACUCGCCUCCAUGAAGUUGGAAUCGCUAGUAAUGGCGCAUCAUCUACGGCGCCGUGAAUACGUUCCCGGGCCUUGUACACACCGCC
rnacentral:rRNA from 1 species